rnacentral:rRNA from 1 species
CCUUUUUCAACAGUGACACCAGUAAAACGCUUUUUUUUUGAAGUCGAAAGAGGCUGGUUUGGGCGCCAGGUAGCAGAGGCUGUGUCACGUCGAGGUGAAACACCUCGUGUUGGUACAGUAAGGCGGCGCGGCGAGGUAGCAAAGAGACUCUGCGGUUGCUACGGAACGUCGAGGUGGUGCGGCGUGGCACUUCGAAGUGGCAAGGGGCGUGUCGAGGGGGCGAGGGGGUGCGUCGAGGGAGCAAGGGGAAAAGGGUAGGGAUUUUAAGGAAGGAAAGGGGUAGGGGAAGGAGCUGACGGAGCAACGACUUCAGCGGCACGAUGCCUGCUGUACCCCGGCGAGUACCUAAGUCGUUGCUCGACGCGAUAGUAGGAGAGGGGAGAGGAAAACCCUACGCCCACGCCUAGGGGUAACUGGACACCUAGGAGGCCAGAAGGGAGGGAUGUGUCGGGUACCUUCUACAGACACCGCUCGCUCGACUCGUCCAACCUAGUGGUCUUGCCGUGGUGGCAGCGCGGUAGGAAGGUCCGCUGGACGGGCACAAUUAGUCCACGUAUUGGGACUGCCGCUGUCGAGGAGAAGUUGUAGGGUCCGAGGAGGAGGUACAGGUUGACGGGUUCACGAGACGUUCAGACGUCCAGGAAGAGGAGUACGGGUUUCAGACCUUAAAACUAGAAAAACCUUGGUAAACAGAGACUUCGUUUUAUUACACGUCAUUCUAAGACGGUAAAUCACGUCAUUCUAAGACGGUAAUACAAUUGUAAUACACGUCAUUCUAAGACGGUAAAACACAGAGAGGUAAAGUUAACAGUUGCGUAUAACUAGAAACAUAACUUGUUUUGUAUAUACGAUAAGAAGCUUUCAAACUCAUAACUAAAGUCUUUCUUUUUUCACAACGGUAAUUACAUAACUGUCAUGACCACGACUACAAUUAAACCUGUGGAACUUCCUAAAUAAAUAGAAAAAAGCAAUUUUACCACCUUCCGAGUUCAUCGGGUUCAAUUCUGUAUUUUUAAGUCUAAUCUUUGAUCAGGAUCAUUGUCUUACUCUUUUACGGUCUUAAUUCUUCGUUCAUGAGGAUCACACCGGUGAAACAUCUACUUAAUUCUUUAAGGUUUAACAAACUUAACCCUGUCAACACCACUUACCCAGUUCAACACGAUCAAUCCAAACUUUGGUACUGUUUUAAGUCUUUCCAGUACAUUACUUUAAACUAAUUACAACAGGAUGUCACAUGAGUACAUUACUUAAAAAACGUCAUCCCGAUCACAAAAGUUUAUUAAGGUUCAUUAAUUUUAUUUAGGUUUAUUAAGGUUCAUUAAGUUCAUUUAAUGGAUUUGUACGAGUCAAUUGUCUUGGACUAACAAUUGUCUUGGAUUCGUAAAAGAAGAAAGACUACCAACAAGGACCUCAUUGAUACCUUUACCUCAGACAUGUUUUCCUCAUACCUUUACGUAUUUCAGACUUGACUGGUUUACCAUGCCACGAAUCACACAUUCUAACUAGUUAACUAGUUCUAAUGUUUUCUUACGUGUGUCCCUCGUAAUUUUCCGUGUUUUCCUCUAAAUUAAAGUCCAACUAACGAAUCAGGUAGUGGUAUCGUGAAAAAGGGAUUGUGAAAGCUGUUGGUAUCGUGAAAUGACUUGUACAUGUACGUUAGGAUGACCUCAUGAGGAAGUCAUGUACAAGUUAACAGGUUACAUUACAUCCUCCUCCCAGUUGUUGUUAAUUUAACAUGUCACAGUACAUCCUCCUCCCAGUUGUAGUUUGAUGAUGUCAACGUACCGUAAUAUUAGAUUGGGUUAUUAAAUCGUUCUUCGAAAAUUAGAUUGUUUUCAGGCUUGGAAGUCCUCGAUGCUCGAUUGUUUUCAAAUUUUGUAACUUCAUUUCUUUCGUCAUCUCUAUAGUAGGAGCGUCUGAACAAGGAAAAAGAAAAGAAUAAUUAUAUUUGUAGCACUGACUUUAAACUAGAUGGUGAUCUGGAUGUCUUUUACCUGUGAAUAACUAAGAGUAAGUUGUUAUAUCACUGUUCACUACUAUUAUCCUGAUUUCCCCACGUCGUCGUUGAACCAUUUAAGGCAAAACAGACUUUUUGUCAAUUGACUUUGACAAUUAACAAAGACCCUAAAGACUUUGAACCCUUACGUGGUGACCCUGUUACAUGUCAGUGAUAUGUCUAAUCCUAUAAUGAGUGUUAAGUUUGAACACAUGACAGUUUUUCCAAGUCCGAGUUACGACGUAACGACUUUUAUGUGUCAUUUAAAAACGUCAUAUCUAAUUAACUUGGGACUUUUAAAUUGACUUAAAAUGUAGGAAGAAGAAGAAGGACUCCUUGCGUUCGAGACCCCCGUCGUGUUCCUCGUCCCGUAUCCUCGUCGUCGUGACGGUGCACGUACCCGUCUACCCACCGUCAUCUCCGCAGGUGGUGGUGGUGGUCGUCGGCUGCCAGGACGCCUCCUCGAGACCCGCCUCCUCGUUGCCAUCGUUCUCGUCCUGGAAGAAGAAGGGGAUGAGCAGCCGCAUCGGCUACGACGAUCCUGACCCGCCUGGCCGUAGCGGCAUCGGCAGGAGGAGGAUCUCGGGGACCUUGAGGAGGGAGGAGGCCAUACACUUGCAAGACGAGGACGGGGACCUGCGCCGGUAGUGCAUGGGGAACAGCAGCAGAAACAGCCACUAGAGUACCGGCCGCCACCGCUUCUGGCGCCCGUCAGAUCUCCGUACCUCCCUCUCGUGCCGGUCCCGGAGCGGCGGCCCCCGCCUAACCGCAGGCCUAGCCCCCGGUCCCGGAGCGACCACCCCCGAGGUCAAGAAGGGCUACUUGUGCCUCGUCGUCCUCGAACUCGUCGGAGAUACACCGGCCGCGUCCAACCGGCAGCAGCUCGAGACCCGGGCUGCCGACCACGGCCGCCACCGACCCCGCUGGCGCCACGCCCGCCCGCUGCCUCCUUCCUCCUUCUUCGUCACCCCCGACUAAUCGUUGUCAAAUUUUCCACCAUCCAAAAAAAAACGUUUUAAUGUUUACUUGAUUCCACGACUGUUGAAAAAGGCCUACCUCCCUCAUGAAAACAUUGAGGUGUUUAAGAUUUUUUAUCCUAUUGUACCCUUUAAACAUAUACUUAGUGCAAUUUUUUUAUUCUGGUUC